rnacentral:sRNA from 2 species
UGGCUAUGGGUGUUACUUUGCAACAGCGCGAAAUCCCACUUUCGCCUGGCGGUUCCCGCUAUGCUUGCAAACGUUAAGUUCCUUGGUCUUGCUUGCAGGGUCACCUUGGCUUCCAAGAUCUCCUAGGUGGCUAAUAUCAAAAGGGAAGCUCGACGAAGCCUGGGAGAUCAUUUGCCGCCUACGGCAAUCAAAAGAUGAUCCAGACAAUCUGGUAGCAAAGGAUGAAUUUGUUCAAACUAAGGAGCAACUUAAACUUGAAGCUGAAAAACUUGCCGCAACAGGUCACGGCGUGUGGACUGCUAUUUUCAAGAAAAAGUCAUACAGAAAGCGCAUGCUCAUCGGGUUUUUGACGCAGUGGGGAGCUGAAUUUGGUGGGCCCUUGAUUAUUAAUAACUAUGCAGUACUCCUGUACCAAAACCUAGGCAUGACUGGCCAUAUGCCGCUGCUCCUAAGCGCACUUUGGCUAACCACGGC